UCGGCCCACGUGAUAAUCGAGUUUGGCGGCAAUGUCGUGAACCACUGAAAGGCCGAACCAGACAAAGAUGACGAGAACAACCGCACCCAUAGAGCAUCCUGCGUAGCUGCCUCUCCGCAUUGGAUGAUGAAUCUAUUCACGUGCUCCACGGUUGAAGUAUCAUCCAUCCCCGAGAACUUGGUGAAGUCAGGAACUUUAUACCGAUGGGGAAACGGCAGUAGGU
rnacentral:lncRNA from 1 species